CAGCCGCCGCGGUAAUACGAAGGGGGCUAGCGUUGUUCGGAAUUACUGGGCGUAAAGGGCGCGUAGGCGGCCAUUCAAGUUAGAUGUGAAAGCCCUGGGCUCAACCUAGGAAUUGCAUUUGAUACUGUUUGGCUUGAGUUCGGGAGAGGUGAGUGGAAUUCCCAGUGUAGAGGUGAAAUUCGUAGAUAUUGGGAAGAACACCAGUGGCGAAGGCGGCUCACUGGACCGACACCGACGCUGAGGCGCGAAAGCGUGGGGAGCAAACAGGAUUAGAUACCCCCGUAGUCCCUGUCUCUUAUAC
rnacentral:rRNA from 1 species